UGAAUACGAGAUGCUACGGCGUCGAAGCAGUCUAUGUCAUACUUCCAAGAAAAGCUUGCACUGUCAUAAACAAAUAAUGCCUGUACCAUAACCGACACAGGUGGGUAGGUAGAGUAUACUAAGGGGCGCGAGAUAACUCUCUCUAAGGAACUCGGCAAAAUGACUCCGUAACUUCGGGAGAAGGAGUGCCUUAUUUAUAAGGUUGCAAUAACAAGACCCAAGCAACUGUUUAUCAAAAACACAGGUCUCCGCUAAGUCGUAAGACGAUGUAUGGGGGCUGACGCCUGCCCAGUGCCAGAAGGUUAAAGAAGUUGGUUAGCAUUAGCGAAGCUGAUGUCUGAAGCCCUGGUGAACGGCGGCCGUAACGAUAACGGUCCUAAGGUAGCGAAAUUCCUUGUCGGGUAAGUUCCGACCCGCACGAAAGGCGUAAUGAUUUGGGUACUGUCUCAGAGAGGGACUCGGUGAAAUAGACUUGUCUGUGAAGAUGCGGACUACCUGCACCUGGACAGAAAGACCCUAUGAAGCUUUACUGUAACCUGAAAUUGAAAUUGGACUUUAUUUGCGCAGUAUAGGUGGGCCUUUGAAGAUAUUCUUGCGGGAAUGUUGGAGCCAUCAGUGAGAUACCACUCUUGUAAUGUUAGAUUUCUAACUUUGUAUCAUUAUCUGGUCAAAGAACAGUUUCAGGCGGGCAGUUUGACUGGGGCGGUCGCCUCCUAAACGGUAACGGAGGCGCACAAAGGUUUCCUCUGAACGGGUAGAAAUCGUAUCUAGAGUGUAAAGGCAUAAGGAAGCUUGACUGUGAGACCUACAAGUCGAGCAGGGACGAAAGUCGGUCUUAGUGAUCUGACGGUGCUGAGUGGAAAGGCCGUUACUCAACGGAUAAAAGUUACUCUAGGAUAACAGGCUGUUCUCCCCCAAGAGUUCACAUCGACGGGGAGGUUUGGCACCUCGAUGUCGGCUCAUCGCAUCCUGGGGCGGUAGUACGUCCCAAGGGUUGGGCUGUUCGCCCAUGAAAGCGGUACGCGAGCUGGGUUCAGAACGUCGUGAGACAGUUCGGUCCAUAUCCGGUGUAGGCGUUAGAAUAUUGAGAGGAGCCUUCUCUAGUACGAGAGGACCGAGAAGGACACACCUCUGGUGUACCAGUUAUCGUGCCAACGGUAAACGCUGGGUAGCUAUGUGUGGAGCGGAUAACCGCUGAAAGCAUCUAAGUGGGAAGCCCACCUCAAGAUAAGUAUUCUCA
rnacentral:rRNA from 1 species